AACACAGACGAUACUCCUUCAUUCUCUGGAUAAGUAACUGUCUCAAAAUGACUAGCAGUUACUUUGGGACUCAAAGAAAUAAAAAGGAAAGAAGGGAUUUCUGGCCAGAAAGUUUGUCGGGGGAAAAAACAUCCCUCACAAAGCAAGGAAACCCCAUUCCACCAUAGUUUUAUUUAACGUCUUCAAAAAGAAAAAAUUGCAUUUUAAAUCAAAAUGUUCUCCAUGACUGACUGCUUUGCAGCGCUAGGGAAGGAGAAAUGAGUCUUCUUCUAAUGACACAGCCCAGUGCACACACACUCCUGGAGCAUCCCCAGACCAGCAGCGUGGCAGCCACUGGGCCUGCAGGUUAAUAUAUGUUGCGCAGCCCCACAAAUUAAAUUGAUGAUUCCCACAUCGGGCCAAAAAUGCAACAGGAGAAGGCUGUGAAAAAUUAGGAAAUCUUCUUGACAUCGGGAAAUCCGACACUUGUCUGCUCUAACAUCUGUAAGUGCCAAAGAAAGAGGGGGAUUUUUUUCCUUAAAGGUAAGUCUAUUUUUCUUCUUCUUGCCAGAUAUAAAAAUUGUGGUUAGUGCCUGGAGUAAAGGGCCCUCUAAACUUUAUAGUGUUUACCCUCCAUUUAUAAAUCCAUAAUGAUCUAUUUAAUGAUAUCAUAAGGUUAAAAGUUAAACAGCACUGUAUUUUCUCUGCCUUUUAGAAAGGCAGGUUUGCCUAUCUCCGAGGGGCGAUCGGUCGGGGUUGUUUUCUGAAGAAGCCUAUAGGUAAAGAGGCAUCCAUACGUUCACUCAGGAGGAUUCAUAAAGGCAAGGACGAGAAGAUAAAGGCAUUAUUUUGACACGAUGACCCCUGGAAAAUGUCUUUGACUCAUCCCAAGUAAGCGUCUUUCUUUCCUUCCUCCACCCUCUCCCCCUCCCCUCAAAAUACGGGGAUAAUUCAAAACAUUUUCUAGAUAUGCUACUUAUACAUAUUGAAAACAUAUUUUAGUGACUGUGUUUGUUUUGGCAAUAUAUAAACAAACAAACAAAAAAACCAAAAACCCAAUUAAAUUAAAAAGAGUGACUUUUAAAAGUUAAAGAUUGCCUUUUAAAAGCUUAUUAAAAUCAGCAUGUUAGAUGUCUGUCUUUGAAUUAGCUCUGAGGCUUGAUUGCUUUCAUUAAAGCUGCCUCUUUGGGUGCUGCUUGGUGAAUGUUCAAAUCUGGAUUUUUUUCCCCUCUUCUCCAUCCCCCCAGCCCCAAGUUGCUUCUUACUACUUGUCAACUUGGAUUUUCCCUCCAAAUUUGAAAGCAAAACUUGGAUUAUUAAUUUUUUUCUUUUUUGAGUAGCAACAGCCAGACCCACCCUGCCUUCCCCCUUGCAAAAUACCAUGACCAAAAUCACCAGCAACCCGAGUCAGAGACAGACCAACAGCCUAAAACCUACAAUGAAUUUACAUCAUCUAUAUGGAGCUUUGGACCAACAGGUUGUUGCCACUUUUGCUGCCUUUGCUUCUGAGAAGCUGAGUAAAUCCUCUGGCCCCUUUCAAAUAUUUUCUCAUCUGCACUGAAUUUCUACUGACAAACCAACUGAUAGAUACAGACCUUAGAAAUAUUUAUAAUCACUGAGUAAGGUUUUCUUUUUUUUUUUUUUUUUACUUAAUCUGAGGCAAUUAGUUCCUGAAUAAACACAGACUAAGUAAUCUACCUCCUUGAAAGGUAAUCAGACUUGAAAAGCGCUGUUUGGUCCUACCCAAGAAAAGGACAACUUGAUUAAAAUGCUUUGGAGAUUAGCUUUCAUUUCUUCCCUGCUGCCCUGAAAAACAUUUUAUAACAUCCCAAUAACUUUUAUUUUCUCCCCAUGCCAAACCUGGGGCCUCUGUUGGUUGUUGCUGUCCUUUCCCCCACCUUUCCUAAAUCUUUAACCCCGCUUCUUAUUUUUCUUUGCCUCUAAUCUAAUCACUAAUUCCUUGACUUGGCCAAAUAGUUAAAAAUGUUAAGUGCUGCUCACAAUUCCUGCUGCCUCCCCCACGUAUCUGUCUCUGUUUAUGGAACAGGCCCUGGUUUCCUCCUGCUCUUGUUCAGCUGUAGGUCUGCAGGUCAGGAGACUGUAAAUACACACAGUGCUGCCCCAACCCAUAAAUCUGAGCAAAGGGCAGCCUUAUAUAUUCAGAUAAGGGAUGUA